AAGAUGCAGUGUACCCGCGGCUAGACGGAAAGACCCCGUGAACCUUUACUACAGCUUGGCACUGAACAUUGAACCUACAUGUGUAGGAUAGGUGGGAGGCUUUGAAGACGUGACGCCAGUUGCGUUGGAGCCGUCCUUGAAAUACCACCCUUGUAUGUUUGAUGUUCUAACUUAGACCCGUUAUCCGGGUUGAGGACAGUGCCUGGUGGGUAGUUUGACUGGGGCGGUCUCCUCCCAAAGAGUAACGGAGGAGCACGAAGGUGGGCUAAUCACGGUUGGACAUCGUGAGGUUAGUGCAAUGGCAUAAGCCCGCUUAACUGCGAGAAUGACGGUUCGAGCAGGUGCGAAAGCAGGUCAUAGUGAUCCGGUGGUUCUGUAUGGAAGGGCCAUCGCUCAACGGAUAAAAGGUACUCCGGGGAUAACAGGCUGAUACCGCCCAAGAGUUCAUAUCGACGGCGGUGUUUGGCACCUCGAUGUCGGCUCAUCACAUCCUGGGGCUGAAGUCGGUCCCAAGGGUAUGGCUGUUCGCCAUUUAAAGUGGUACGCGAGCUGGGUUUAGAACGUCGUGAGACAGUUCGGUCCCUAUCUGCCGUGGGCGUUGGAAGAUUGAAGGGGGCUGCUCCUAGUACGAGAGGACCGGAGUGGACGAACCUCUGGUGUUCGGGUUGUGUCGCCAGACGCAUUGCCCGGUAGCUAAGUUCGGAAUUGAUAAGCGCUGAAAGCAUCUAAGCGCGAAGCGAGCCCUGAGAUGAGUCUUCCCUGACAGUUUAACUGUCCUAAAGGGUUGUUCGAGACUAGAACGUUGAUAGGCAGGGUGUGUAAGCGUUGUGAGGCGUUGAGCUAACCUGUACUAAUUGCCCGUGAGGCUUAACCAUACAACACCCA
rnacentral:rRNA from 1 species